rnacentral:lncRNA from 1 species
CUGAAGGCUCUUUUAGGGCCUUUAAUUGUGUAGAUGGAGAAAUUGGGACCCAGGGGGUCACACUGCCAGUGUGGGGGUUCUGGUCACCCACGGGCGGCUCCUGGCCUCGGCACAGUGCACUCUGCAUCCCUUUGUGUGAUUCCGCCCCAGCCCUCCCCCUCAGCCUCCCUCCUGUCCUAGUUUCAGGACUACCGUGAAAGGAGCCAGAGCUCUGUCCUGAGAGGGAGGUACUGUGAUGAUCCCCAUUUCUCCAUGAGGCUCAGAGAGGUGCACCCACCGUCCUGGGGUCACACAGCUGAACCAAGACUGGAACCUGCGAAGCUGCACUACCUGCCAGGAACAGGUUCACGUUCCUGGGGGUACAAGACUCUUUGCCAUAUACUCACAGCGUCCUCGGUGCCAGAUGGGGAAGCCCCGACUUCAGUGGGUGAGAAUUGGGCAAAGGACCCUUCCAGCUGACAGCCAGCAGGAUGAGCUGGCGGGCGUCCCAGCAAGGCCUGGGGGGCGGGGCAGGUGUGGGUACCCGGCCCCCUAGGCCCCAGCUGCACGGAGGCUCCUGGCACACCCCGGGGCGGCCCACGCCUGUCGCCAGGAAGGCUGGCAUCAGCUGGUCGACCGUGCCUGGGGCUUCGAGUCAGCGUUUGGGUUCGAAGUGUUAUUUUCAUUGUGUUUUGUUUAUUCCACGCUUGCCUUUGAAAUCUGUUUUCGCACCUUCCCAUCCCAGAGAAGGGAGCUGGUUUGGCUACAACAUGCUGUGUUGUCUCAGCCUUAAAAAUGAUUCCCCUUGAGUUGGGGGCUCAUCAUCCCUGAGCACAGGUGGCCCCUCAGGUGCUGGUGUCUGUGGUGGGUCUGCAGGACAGGACGGCCCGACACCCUUCUGCUCCGGCCACGCUGGGCCAGGCGACAGGCAGCCCUCAAACCCUGUGCCAAGACGGAACCUCCAGCAGCUGAGCAGGGUUUAGAACAGGACUGGAGCGGGCUCCCUCCUCAGUCCUGCUCCCAGCCAGGGUUCUCCUGAGGUGUGAGGUCCUGGGCUGGCCCUGAGGUGGCCGCUGCAGGCUGGAUCCCUGGUUGCCAGUCUUGACUCUCCACCCCCACCCCAGCACUGACCGGCCCAGGCAGGCUGCUCCUCCAAGCCCCAGGUCCUGCGGCUCUGCCUCCUCCCUGACUCCUCCCUCCAUGCUCCCCCUCACUCUGCAGCAGGCUUCUCGCUUCUUUUCUACUCUCCUGAGCCAAACUCCUUCAUGCCCCAGGGCCUUUGCACAUGUUUCACCCUCUGCCUGAAAUGCUCUUCCCACCAGCGUCACCAACUCCUACUUAACAUCAGGUCUCAGUGAAGCUGAGGUCUCCUCCUCAGGGAAGCCCUCCUGGAUCAGAAUUGAACAAUGGUAAUAGGACUGGCUCACAGAGGACCCCUCUCAGCAGACCCUGAGCUCCGGGAGCACAGGGAUUGAACAGGCCCCUAACACAGAACCUGCCACACAGAAGACCCUCAAUAAAUGCUGGGCAAGGGGGUGG